rnacentral:rRNA from 1 species
CCUACGGGAGGCAGCAGUGGGGAAUAUUGGGCAAUGGGCGCAAGCCUGACCCAGCACCGCCGCGUGAAGGAAGAAGGCUUUCGGGUUGUAAACUUCUUUUCUCAGGGACGAAGAAAGUGACGGUACCUGCGGAAUACGCCACGGCUAACUCCGUGCCAGCAGCCGCGGUAAUCCGGGGGAUGCAAGCGUUAUCCGGAUUUAUUGGGUUUAAAGGGUGCGUAGGCUGUGCGGUAAGUCAGCGGUGAAAUGCCCCCGCUCAACGGGGUGAAGUGCCAUUGAUACUGCCUUGCUGGAAUGCGGAUGCCGGGGGAGGAAUGUGUGGUGUAGCGGUGAAAUGCAUAGAUAUCACACAGAACACCGAUUGCGAAGGCAUCUCACGGAUCCGCGAUUGACGCUGAUGCACGAAAGCGUGGGGAUCAAACAGGAUUAGAUACCCCAGUAGUC